UAAAAUUAACAUAAACUUUGUGCAUAUAAAUUACUGUAUUUGCUACAAUCUCAACUUCAAGUAAAGACGGCCUUUUCCAGCAUAUUUGUUAAAAAUUGCUUAGCGCAUCUUUUUCCUAGGGUUACAGAAACCAACCUGAAAUGAAACUAGCUGUUAAAGAAUUCAUUGUUCUCUGUAGUUGCAGUGGUACCUGAAAUAAAAAUGUUAUUGAUGACCAAAUUUUCUUGUGUGUAUAGUUGGCGAGCUGUAUUAAACAGGAAAAAAAGAAAUUACUUGUAUUUUCUUCACUCUGUGCUUUGAAAACAUCUAUUUGAUUUCACCUCCAUCUGUUGUAAUCAAUAACCUGACCACCUUGUUUUUUUUAUUAAAUGCACUUACUCUUACCUUCAUCCACCAGAGGUUUUAGAGAGAAUAACAUGGAGUUACCUAUAUGAGUUUGACCUUAUAAAUCACUUCUCGGGGCUGAAUCGUAUAGUGGUAUCGAUUGAUCCUGAUAUAUCACAGAAAUUUACUGUUGCUUCUGUUUUCAAUGAAAGAUGCAAUCAGUUAGAUAAUGACUUCAUUGGAUUUUACAGAAGACUGAGUGCUUUCCGAGUUUAGCUGAGGAAGAUCCUUUUAUCACACUUGUCAGCCAGGCCCUGCAGUUGGGUGCACCUUUGGCUGAUGCUCGCUGCUGUUGCCAUUGUGACAGGCGCAUACUUGGAUUAUGAGCUCCUGCCCUGUACCAGCUCAUAAUGAGGUUUACAGUGGGGGUGUCUUGCCGGACCUAAGGCUCCCCCCAGGCUGCCAGUCCGGAUCUGAUCCAGCACAGCCCAGGGGCCUGACCGGAAGCUGGAGGCUGGGUCCCUCAUGUCAUGCAGCUACUAUUUGUUUUUUUGUUGCAUUUGUUUGUUCCUGCUCCUCCUGUUGACCACCUACCUCCUUGGGCUCAGGAAUGGCCAUCUCCAGGGCAGAAGAGUGGCCAGAAGGGAAGAGUGCGAAUGCAGCCGGCACUGCCAGUGCUCCAGUGGACUGAGAGAGGAGUGCCAACCCUCUUUGAAGAGCCGCCGCUGACCAUGUUCCAUCCGCACCCAGCAAGCAGUUGAGGAGGAGGCCUCCCUUCUUUCCUUUCCUUUCCUCCCUCCCUUCCACUGUGAAUGUUGCCUUUUAAUGGAAGGGCAGGGUUUAAAGAUAAUGAAUAAAAUAAAAUAAAUCGUAAAUCGUAAAUCA
rnacentral:lncRNA from 1 species